AUACCUUUGGAAGGUGCAUCCUGAUUGAGGACGUGAGUCAAUUUUUUGAAACUGAAAUCUAAUCUCAAGUUUCUGAGCCAGUCAUUGUGAUUGGGCUCGAUCAACUUAUUGGUAUCAAGGAUUUGAGCUUGGGAGUUAGAACUCGACAUAGUUAUCUGUAGAGAGAAUAGUUUCUAAUUAGAUAUUUAUAUUUGAUAAAUAUUUAUUCUGAGGAUAUUAAAAACAAACAAGACUUUCACUAUUUCUAUGAAUCUUCCGCACUCCUCGAAUGGAGAAAAAAAUCUAUAUGCAAUAAGUUUCUAGCAAGUACUACACUCCCAC
rnacentral:lncRNA from 1 species